CUACCGUCACACACAGAUAACAAAUAGACGGUUCAUACAAUAGUUUGUCUCUACGUGUUGGUACAAAAAUCAGGAAACGAUCUUCACGUACUAACACACGAAAUUUGGAAGAAUCUGCUUCACUCCUGUUCGGGUUGUAGCCCUCUCGAUCCGUGGCGUAUCAGUCAAUCUAACUUACUGAUUGACAAGAACAAGUAAAAUGUCAAAUACAAGAGCAAAUCGGCUAGUGUUCCGAACAGGGCCGGCCCUUGGGGGGGCAGGGGGGCGGCUGCCCUGAGCCCCCAAAUCCCAGGGGCCCCACCCCAGGUGCAGGCCUGCCCAGGUGUCAGGUACGGGACUGCAGGAGGUACUCGAGUGUUUUGGCCUUUGGGCCGGCCGGGCGACGUAAUUAGCGAUUGGAGUUCAGACGAUAGGUCAGUACGCCGUGCGCAGCAGAACGCACGCAUUCGCACGCAAUUACACAGGUAGUAGAUUGCAUCCUAGCCUCCUGGUACCGCAGCGCCGCCACCGCACGCAGCAUGCCGCACUACCGCAGCGCC
rnacentral:lncRNA from 1 species